UACGUAGGGGGCAAGCGUUGUUCGGAAUUACUGGGCGUAAAGGGCGCGUAGGCGGCACGGCAAGUCAGGAGUGAAAGGCCUGGGCUCAACCGAGGAACUGCUUUUGAGACUGCCGAGCUAGAGUGCAGAAGGGGCAACUGGAAUUCCCAGUGUAGCGGUGAAAUGCGCAGAUAUCAGGAGGAACACCAAUGGCGAAGGCAGCUCGCUGGAACGGUACUGACGCUGAGGCGCGAAAGCGUGGGGAGCAAACAGG
rnacentral:rRNA from 1 species